CUUCUGACCUCUUUCUCCUGGAAAACCUGGAGGUCCAGGUGUACCACUACCACCAAUGGCUGGACGUCCUGGUGCUCCAGGAGGACCUGUCAAACCUGAAGAAGACAGAACACCGAUAAAUGCAGAUGACAAUACCCAACAGUAUCAGGUCCAGGUGGACCGGGAGGACCUGGACGACCCUGGAAAAGAAGACCAGAAAACAAUUUACCUUGACAGCUUACAGGAACUCCUGGCAAUCCGGGCAAUCCCACUGCUCCUUUCUCUCCAAAACGAUUGGUGGAGAUCACAUCACCUGGGUCUCCCUGUUGAAGAACACAAACAGUGGAAAUUGUUAUUAAAAGAAAAACGGACAAGAAGCUUCCUUGAGGUAUUCGGUACGAAGCAAUCAUACCUAAUAUGAAAAUCCCCUACAAACCAGGUGGACCCUAUAAAGGAGAAAAGAAAAAGAGAAAUCUUCAGGGAACAGAUCAAAAUCUGAGAGUUUGCUGAUUAUUGUGUUCAAAACUCUACAUAAAGAGGACUUUCCCCUGAGUGACUCACUGGAAAUC